GCGCUUCAGCAGUACAUAUACUAAAUUGGAACAAUACAGAGAAGAUAAACACGGUCCCUGCACAAGGAUGACAUGCAAAUUUGUGAAGUGUUCCAUGUAUUU